GAGUGAGGGUAAAAUUAACCCACUUUUGGAGAUUCAGAAAGAACUACAGAAGGAAGCUCCCAUGAAUGCCCCAGGCAGAAGCUGCCAAAGGCUUCUGGAGAAAAUAGGCAAAAGAUAUUUAUGAGUUCUUUGGGAACAGGAACUGCUCACUUCCUUGGCAUAAGUGGAUAUAUAGAAGCAAUGACAGAUGGGAGCAGUAGUUUCUCAAAGGUGUAUGCAUGACAUCUCAGACUGUAUCUACGUUCUCUUUUAAGAGGAACAGCAACUUCUCAGCCCAGCUCUUCAGGAAAAGGACACAGAGGCCAUUUGGAUAAAUCAGCCCAGACUUUCACUCUAUAUCGACAAAGAUGAAGAUAUAAUCACUCAAGACCAAAAAUAAAGUAUGAUUGGAAGAUGUCGUUCUCCA
rnacentral:lncRNA from 1 species